AACCUGGUUGAUCCUGCCAGUAGUCAUAUGCUUGUCUCAAAGAUUAAGCCAUGCAUGUCUAAGUAUAAGCACUUGUACUGUGAAACUGCGAAUGGCUCAUUAAAUCAGUUAUCGUUUAUUUGAUUGUACUUUACUACAUGGAUAUCUGUGGUAAUUCUAGAGCUAAUACAUGCGAAAAAUCCCGACUUAUGGAAGGGAUGUAUUUAUUAGAUUAAAAACCAAUACGGGUCCUUGCGGCUCGUUUUCCUGGUGAUUCAUGAUAACUUUUCGAAUCGCAUGGCCUUUGUGCCGGCGAUGUUUCAUUCAAAUUUCUGCCCUAUCAACUGUCGAUGGUAAGGUAGUGGCUUACCAUGGUUGUAACGGGUGACGGAGAAUUAGGGUUCGAUUCCGGAGAGGGAGCCUGAGAAACGGCUACCACAUCUAAGGAAGGCAGCAGGCGCGGAAAUUACCCAAUCCCGACUCGGGGAGGUAGUGACAAGAAAUAACGAUACGGGGUCUUAAUAGGUCUCGCAAUUGGAAUGAGUACAAUUUAAAUCCUUUAACGAGGAUCAAUUGGAGGGCAAGUCUGGUGCCAGCAGCCGCGGUAAUUCCAGCUCCAAUAGCGUAUAUUAAAGUUGUUGCAGUUAAAAAGCUCGUAGUU
rnacentral:rRNA from 1 species